AAUCUACCCCUUACUACAAGUCCCCUCCACCUCCCCCAUACUACAAAGAAUCUACCCCUUACUACAAGUCCCCUCCACCUCCCCCAUACUACAAAGAAUCUACUCCUUCCUAUAAAUCACCUCCACCUCCACCAUACUACAAAGAAUCUACUCCUUCCUAUAAAUCCCCUCCCCCUCCCCCCCACCACACCCUCCCCCUCCACCAUACUACAAAGAAUCUACUCCUUCCUAUAAAUCCCCUCCCCCUCCACCAUACUACAAAGAAUCUACUCCUUCCUAUAAAUCCCCUCCCCCUCCACCAUACUACAAAGAAUCUACACCUUCCUAUAAAUCUCCUCCACCCCCAUCAACCUACUAUUAAAAUAGUUACUAAUUCUAUCAUUUCCACCAUUUCCAUGAAUUCUAACUCCUACUUUGAGUAUCUCUAUUUCCUCAGCCAAAAUUUUAUGUAUUCUUCAAGAAGGUUUUGCUUGUUUUGUGUGUUCCUUUCUUUUAAUAAUUUGUAAUAUGCAUUGUUUGAGAUCCUCAAGAUCUCCGUCAGUUUGGUUCAUUGUAUCAAGAUUCUUUUUGAUGUAAUCUCUUGAGAGUUCCACUUUGUGUAAUACUAUCUUCUUCUUUAUCAAAUAUUGUGUUCUCUUAUUGGUUGAGUUCUUGACUUCUUUCAUUGUUCCAUAAGCAUUCACCUUAUGGACAUCUAUGCUAAACUCUUAUAUGAAGAGAAACCACAUCUGAGUAUAGUUUGGUAACUGUACUCAUUAACUUUUGAGAAAGCAAAAUUAUGUACAAUAAACAGAAUAAGAAAGAAAUAAAGAUGCAUUUAAACUAAGAAAAUGCAUCAUUUCGACAAUUCUUUUCUAAGAUAGAGAAGAGGAAAAGGCGACGUAGUCAAGGUUUAUCGACAUUUUUCUCUUUAAAGAUUACUCUUUUCAUUAUUGAUUUUUCCUUCUGCGAAGAUGUAACCAAGUUUCAGAUUUGUUAGAAAAGUAUUCUUAGUCUUAUAGGUUAAAUUAAAAACUAUAUGUGCAACUCCAACAUUAUUGCCUCCAUUAAGUUACUAAUAAAUUAACAAACAAUUCGUACGGAAAUGGGAUCCCAAUAUCAAGAGACAAAAGAUUCUUAUGAGAAAACACAAUUAAACGAGCCUCUACUUGAACCUCCAAGGAUAAAGGUACAUGAACAACCAUUUGAUCUCCAUAAAAAUCGGUAUAGAAUCCCUUGAAAACUAAUGGAUGUAAACAAAUAGCGUCCCUCCACUAAAACAGGCUGGAAUGCCUGUAUGCCUAAUCUAUGCAGAUUGGAUGCUCUAUUCAGCAAUAUAGGAUGUCCCUGCGUAACUUCUUGAUCAGUAAAAAAGAAUAAUCUUCUUAUGUAGUUAUUUUUUUUGAUAAAGGUAACUUUAUAUUCAUGUCAAAACUCAUCAGCAGAGCAUGAUGAGGUGGGAUUUGUAAUCUUCUUAUGUAGUUAUUCAUAAGUUGUUAUCCCCUUACAUCUAACUAUUAAAUAAAUAAGUUUCAUACCCCAAGAACACGAAAAGAAAUAUACUGAUAUCAAUCCGACUUAAGUAGGAAAACAUAUUUGACGAGGAGAAUGUAGAGUCUGAAUAAUGAAGACUUGGGAAAAAUUAAGACAUCAAGAUUUUUCCGAUAGAAGUUCUGGAAACCUCAGUGUAGUUGGCGUUGUUAAUGGAGAAUAUGUGACAUUUGACUCUAAUUUUCUUAGUUGCAAUUUUCUCAAUCUUUAUUCUGUGUUCUGUCAUUUGUAAAGGGGGAUUUAAAGAGUGAAGGUUUAUAUAAAGACAUUUUGGGGUUCAUAAGACUAGUUACAUACUAUUGCACAUGAACUAUUGGGAUGAGCUUGUGCAUUGAACAUUGGGAUCAUCUCAGGUGUACUUCUGGACACUUGAGGUGUAAGUAUCGCGAGACUACUAUCUCUACGUCUGUCCCAAAGUAUCUCAUCUCUAUAUGAGUCCCUGACGAGUCUCGAGUCUGCCUUCCAUCCGUGAUCCUCAGACCAAAAUGUUAUAUAAGGUGUAAUCUGGUAUGAUUAUCCACUGUUCAAUAGUAAAGUCAACUUGUAGAUUCUUCUUCUGGAAUUGCUAUUCUUUUACUUUGCCAAUGGGAUGACAGUUGUGGCAUUCCUCUUCUUAUUUUUCUUUUUUUGUUCCUAAAUUAUUUCUUCAUCAUGAAAUUUUUUUCUAAAAGAAAGAAGUCAUGGAUAAAUGCUUCCCACUAAGUACUGACUUAGUCUUUAUUUUGACUUAGGCAUCAUCUUAGUGGCUAACCAUGAAGCCAUUACAUGACUGUUAAGAAGACUAUCAAUUUGUAGUAUAAAUCUAGAGGUUCCUACUCAACUAUGCAACACAAGUCUUAGUUCUAUCCUCCUCUUCUCCAAGUUUAGUUGGUUGAAAAAGCAAAUGAGAAGCUUUGGAAAUUUGGGGCAAUGGCCUCUACUUGCAUUUGCUUUGGCAAUUUGCUUUGUAGCCAGCACUGUUGUUGCUGACUACUCUUAUGACUAUACUUCUCAUUCACCUUCUUACAAUUCUAAGAAAGACUACAAAUCACCUUCUCCAUACUACAAGAAACCGGAAAAACAUGUUGAACAUUCUCCAUCGCAUUACUAUUACAAGUCGCAUGCUCCUUCAAAACACUACUAUAAGGCACCUGUUAUUGCGAAGUAUUACCAGUCACAUGCUCCUUCAAAGCACUACUACAAGGCACCUAUUGUUACGAAGUAUUACAAGUCACACGCUCCUUCAAAGCACUACUACAAGGCACCUGUUGUUACGAAGUAUUACAAGUCACCUGCUCCUUCGAAACACUACUACAAGGCUCCAGUGGUAGUGAAGUAUUACAAGUCACCAGCUCCUUCAAAGAAUUACUACAAGGCACCUGUCCCUUCAAAGGAGUACUACAAGUCGCCAGCUCCUUCAAAGUACUACUACAAGUCGCCAUCACCUGCAAAGUACUACAAGUCGCCUGCUCCAUCAAAGCACUAUUACUACAAGUCCCCAUCCCCUUCAAAAUAUUACAACUCACCCGCUCCUUCCAAAUACUAUAAAUCACCUGCACCACAAAAAUAUUACAAGUCACCAGUUUACUACAAGUCUCCUCCCCCACCACCAACUUAUUAUGAGAAAUCACCUUCUUACUACAAGUCCCCUCCCCCUCCACCAUACUACAAAGAAUCUACCCCUUACUACAAGUCCCCUCCUCCUCCCCCAUACUACAAAGAAUCUACUCCUUACUACAAGUCCCCUCCACCUCCCCCAUACUACAAAGAAUCUACUCCUUACUACAAGUCCCCUCCACCUCCCCCAUACUACAAAGAAUCUACUCCUUACUACAAGUCCCCUCCACCUCCCCCAUACUACAAAGAAUCUACCCCUUCUUAUAAAUCUCCUCCCCCUCCACCAUACUAUGAAGAAUCUACGCCUUCUUAUAAAUCCCCUCCACCUCCACCAUAUUACAAAGAAUCUACACCUUCCUAUAAAUCUCCUCCACCCCCACCAAAGUACUAUGAGCAAUCUCCUACAACCUAUAACUCACCACCUCCACCACCACCAGCCUAUUACAAGCAAACUCCCACCUAUGCCUCACCUCCACCACCUCAGAAGUACGAGCAAUCUGUCACCUAUGCUUCACCUCCACCCCCGCCAGCUUCUCCCCCACCGACGUACUACUAAACAUUCAAUAACUCUAUCAUUUCCAUGACUUCUACAUCCUAUUUUGAUUUCAUUCCCUCUUCCAAAAUUUAAUGUAUGCUUGUCAAAAUGAUCAGCUUUGCUUACUGUAUGUUCAAUAUUGUUUUGUUCUAAUGAUUUGUAUUUUGUUUUAUGUCUUCAUUAGUUUUUCUCAUUGUAUCAAGAUCAAUAGUUUGUUACCUAUCUUCUCUUCUUUGUGUAAUAUUCUGUGGUUUUAAUCGACUUAAUUCUUUCAAGUAUAGUAUACCUCCAUAACAUAUAUUUGAUGAUACAGAAAGAUACAAAAGGUUAGUUGGGAAACUAAACUACCUUACAGUGACCCGUCUGAUAUUGGCUAUGCAGUUAGUAUUGUCAGUCAGUUCAUGUCUGCACGAACAGUUAACAUUGGGUAGUCUUGGAACAGAUCUUGUGUUGUUUGAAAGGAGCCGAAGGAACUGACGGAACUCUAUUUCGAGACUCGGAACUCCAAAUGUUGACUAAAGUCAAUCAUUUCAACUUAAAAGCUUCCAAAACUCCAAAACUUAUAAAAAUCUCAACUUUAUGAUUUGGUUUCAAAUCUAACCUCAUAAGCUUAUCAAACAUGACUCAGGGCAACUAUUGAGAGGGGUAAAACGGUAAUUUUUCCAAAAAAAUGAAUCCAAAUAUGACCUUCAGGGUCAUUACACACUUUGUUCCCGAGAAGAUAGAGAACAUGAUUUCUACUGGUUAUGUAAAGACGAGAGAAAACAGGUAAUAUAUUAAAGAAGGCUUUAAAUGGUACUCGUGUGGAGUAUCUUUGUAACAUGUUGGACAUGAUUAAUAUCUAUACUCCAACUUAAGGGGGAGUGCUACAUAAUGAAUAUAGACGCAUCUUCAUACAAUCGUAGGUUGAGAUAUUAGGGAUUUUAUGAUUUUGUUUUCUUAGAUAGAUUUACUUGUACACCUACAAAUAGCUCACUCUUGGAAUAAUACGAUAAGGAGAUUCGUUCCAUUGUCUCUUUAUUAUACAAUAAGCCUUCUUUGACAUGCUAUCCAUUUUUUGGAUUGUAAUUAUACUUAUCAACUUUUGAAAAAGAAAAUUAUAUAAAGCAAAAAGAAAUAGAGUCAUAAGUUAAUAAAUUAACCAACAACUCCAACAUUGCGGCUUCCAUUAAGUUAAUAAAUUAACCAACAACUCAUAACACUAUGAUAUUCAUUAGUAAAAGAUUAAUCUUCUUAUGUAGUUAUUUGUAAAUUGUUACCUCUUACUAGAGGGGCGUACCCAUUAUCCACCGAGUUUAGAAGGUUGUGAUUGGUCCAAAGGGCGGGUCACAUGCAAAUUUCUCGGUUAUCAAAAAAAAAAAUUGUUACCCUUUACAUGUUUUAACUAAUAAAUAAAUGUCAUACCCCAUGAACAUGAAGAGGACAAUAUUGUUAUCAAUCUGACUUAAGUAACUAAAAAAACAGAUUUGAAGACGAAAAUAUUGAGUUUGAUUAACAAAGACUCAGCUAAAAAUAAGACAUAUCAAGAUGUUUCCGAUAAAAGGUGUUGUGAAACCUCUCUGUAUUUAGCAUUCUUGACGAAGAAUAUGUGACAUUUGACUCUAAUCUUUUUACUUGCAAUUUUCUUAACUCAUUGUUUUUUUUUAUAUCAGUGAAGGGUGAUUUAGAAAGACUAAGUACAUAGAUUGCACAGGAACUAUUGAGACAAGCCCCGUGUGUUGGACGUUUGAUGCCUCUCAGGUAUACAUGCUGACACUUGAGGUGUAAGUCUCGCUGAGGCAACAACCUCUACAUCUGUCCCAAAGUACCUCAUCUCGAGUCCCUAACGAGUCUCAAGUUUGCCUUCCAUGUGUGAUCCUCUGUAAGUUUUUGAACUUCUUGUUCAGUUUUUGUACUAGUGAACAUAUAGAUUCUUGUUCUGCAAAUAAUCAUUCUUUUACUUUCCCAAUGGGAUGGAAGUUGUGGCAUUCCUCUUCUAAUCUUCUCAUUUUCUUUUUUUAUGUUUCUAAUGAUUUGUUCAAUCAUUAGAAUAAGUUUUAAGAAAAAAAGUUGUGGAAAAAUGCUUCCCACUAAGUAUUCAUGACCUAGUCUUUAUUUGGACUUUGCUAUGAUAUUAGUGGCUAACCAUGAAGGAUGCUACUUUGCUACUAUAAAAACUAGACAUCUCAACUCAACUAUGCAACACAAGUCUUAGUUUUAUCCUUCUUUUUACAAUCAAAAUGAGAAGCUUUGGGAAUUUGGGGCAAUUGCCUCUACUAGCAUUUGCUUUGGCAAUUUGCUUUGUAGCCAGCACUGUUGUUGCUGAUUACUCUUAUGGCUAUACUUCUCCUUCAACUUCUUACACCUCUAAGAAGUACUACAAAUCACCAUCUCCAUCUCCAUACUACAAGAAACCGGAGAAACAUGCUGAACAUUCUCCGUCACACUAUUACAAGUCCCCUACUCCUUCAAAGCACUACUACAAAUCACCGGUAGUAGUAAAGUAUUACAAAUCACCGGCUCCUUCAAAGAAAUACUACAAGUCGCCUUCCCCUUCAAAGUACUAUUACAAGUCGCAUGCCCCUUCUAAGAAGUACUACAAGUCACCAUCCCCUUCAAAGAAGUACUACAAAUCUCCAUCGCCUGCAAAAUACUACAAGUCGCCUGCUCCAUCAAACAACUAUUACUACAAGUCACCAUCCCCUGUAAAGUACUACAAAUCUCCUUCGCCUGCAAAAUACUACAAGUCGCCUGCUCCAUCAAACAACUAUUACUACAAGUCACCAUCCCCUGUAAAGUACUACAAAUCUCCAUCGCCUGCAAAAUACUACAAGUCGCCUGCUCCAUCAAAGAACUAUUACUACAAGUCACCAUCCCCUGUAAAGUACUACAAAUCUCCAUCGCCUGCAAAAUACUACAAGUCGCCUGCUCCAUCAAAGAACUAUUACUACAAGUCACCAUCCCCUGUAAAGUACUACAAAUCUCCAUCGCCAGCAAAAUACUACAAGUCACCUGCUCCAUCAAAGCAUUAUUACUAUAAGUCACCAUCCCCAUCACAAUAUUACAAAUCACCCGCUCCUUCUAAGUACUAUAAAUCGCCACCACCACCAACAUAUUACAAGUCACCAGUUUAUUACAAGUCCCCUCCCCCUCCACCAUACUACAAAGAAUCUACCCCUUACUACAAGUCUCCUCCUCCUCCUCCAUACUACAAAGAAUCUACCCCUUACUAUAAGUCCCCUCCACCACCCCCAUACUACAAAGAAUCUACCCCUUACUACAAGUCCCCUCCACCUCCCCCAUACUACAAAGAAUCUCCCCCUUACUACAAGUCCCCUCCACCUCCCCCAUACUACAAAGAAUCUCCCCCUUACUACAAGUCCCCUCCAAAUCACCUCCACCUCCCCCAUACUACAAGGAAUCUACACCUUCAUAUAAAUCUCCUCCACCUCCACCAUACUACAAAGAAUCUACACCUUACUACAAGUCCCCUCCCCCUCCCCCGUACUACAAAGAAUCAACCUCUUCCUACAAAUCCCCACCACCUCCCCCAUACUACAAAGAAUCUACGCCUUCCUACAAGUCCCCACCACCUCCCCCAUACUACAAAGAAUCUACCCCUUACUACAAGUCUCCACCACCUCCCCCAUACUACAAAGAAUCUACCCCUUCCUAUAAGUCCCCUCCACCUCCCCCAUACUACAAAGAAUCUCCCCCUUACUACAAGUCCCCUCCACCUCCCCCAUACUACAAAGAAUCUCCCCCUUACUACAAGUCCCCUCCACCUCCCCCAUACUACAAAGAAUCUCCCCCUUACUACAAGUCCCCUCCACCUCCCCCAUACUACAAAGAAUCUCCCCCUUACUACAAGUCCCCUCCACCUCCCCCAUACUACAAAGAAUCUCCCCCUUACUACAAGUCCCCUCCACCUCCCCCAUACUACAAAGAAUCUACCCCUUACUACAAGUCCCCUCCACCUCCCCCAUACUACAAAGAAUCUACCCCUUACUACAAGUCCCCUCCACCUCCCCCAUACUACCCCUCCACCAAAGUACUAUGAGCAAUCGCCUACAAAAUACAACUCACCACCUCCACCAUCACCAAUCUAUUAUUAGCAAACUCCCACCUAUGCCUCACCUCCACCCCCGCCAACAUACAACUAAACAUUCAAUAACUCUAUCAUUUCCAUGAAUUUUACAUCCUAUUUUUAUUCCAUUUCCCUUCCAAAAUUUAAUGUAUGUUAGUCGAAAUGAUCGACUUUAUUUAUUGUGUGUUCAAUAUUGUUUUGUUCUAAUGAUUUGUAUUAUGUAUUACUUGAGAAUUAAUUAAGAUUUCCUCAUUGUAUCAAGAUUAAUAGUUUGUUACUUAUCUUCUCUUCUUUGUGUAAUAAUAUUGUAUCCAAAUUGUUAAUUGAAAUGAGAUGGUAUUGUCCCUAGAUAAUUUCUUCCCUGCAAUAGUUUGUAACCUAUUUAAUUAAGAAAAAUGGUAAAAUCUACAAAAAUUAUUUAUAAAUUAACAAAAUCUAAUAUCAUGAUAUACAACUCAACAACAACGCCUAAAAUACAUUAACAUUAUAAAAUUUUAAAAUAAAAUAAAAAUGUGAAAAAGUUGGCAUAAAUUUUAGAAAUGCUAAUAUAUGACUAUGAAAUAUACAAUCAACUUUAUAUAAUAUCAUGAUAUACAACUUUAAUUACAACGCCUAACAAUCCAAAUAUUAGAAGGAAACAAAAUAUCAUAUGUUCCUCUUGAGAAAUAAAUAUAUUAAUAUUAUUACUUGAAUUUCUCUCUUUGAUUAAACGAGUUGUGUUUGGACCAAUUUAUUCGUACCGCGACUAUUCCAUCAUGUACUUGCUAUCUAGCGGCUAGCUCCCACUAUAAUACAUGUACCAAGUAACUUUACUCGCUUUAGGCAGAUGGAAAAAUAUCAUAUAAUGUUCAAAGACAACUCUUUCCAUUAUUGAAUUUCUUGCUUGAGAUAAAACCAAGUUUUAGAUAUAAAAAAAAAUGUUACUUAUAGUCUUAUAUAGGAACGUUACAAUUGCACAGUACAACUCCAACACCAACACUGUUUGGGUAAAUAUUUAUGAGCAUUGGGUAUUUACACCAAAUUUAUAUAAUUUAUUGUAGUUAGAUAAUUUAAUGGAGUGAAUAUAUUAAUUAACCAUGAUUAUGUGAUGUUAUUGUAAAUUUAUACACAUGACAUACAUUCAUUAGUUUGAUUUAAACACCCGAUGCAGAAGUUAAAAUAACAAGACUUAAAAAAUAAUAUGGAGGUUAUAUAAUGAAGAUCUUGAAAAAGUAAAAAAAACAUCAAGAUUUUUCUUAUGGAAAUUCCAUCAAAUUAACCCACUAUCGUAACAAUGGUGUCUGGGUACACUCUACCCUCCCCAGACCUUACUUUGUGAAAUUAUACUGAAUAUAUUGUUAUUGUUGUAAUCUGGUGUGUGUAUAUGAUCUUUUUGCCUUGUUUUUGAACUUCAUGUUCAAUAUUCAAGUCAGCUUAUCUAUUAUUUCUAAAUUAGCCCACUUGCAAAUUAUUUUUUCAAUCACCAAAAUAAAUGCUUGCCACUAAUUACACUAAACUAAUAUUUAUUUGGACUUUCCUAUCAUCUUAGUGGGUAACCAUGAAACCAUUACAUUAAUUAAUCUCAAGAAGUAUAUUACUUUGCUACUAUAAAAACUAAAGAUCCCAACUCAACUAUGCAACACAACUUAGUCCUAUCUUUUUUCUCCAAAAAUCAAAAUGAGAAGCUUUGGAAAUUUGGGGCUAUGGCAUCUACUUGCAUUUGCUUUGGCAUUUUGCUUUGUAGCUAGCACUGUUGUUGCUGAUUACUCUUAUGACUAUACUUCUCAUUCACCCUCUCCAUACUACAAGAAGCCGGAAAAACAUGUUGAACAUUCUCCAUCGCAUUAUUAUUACAAGUCACAUGCUCCUUUAAAACAUUACUAUAAGACACCUGUUGUAGCGAAGUAUUACAAGUCGCAUGCUCCUUCAAAGCACUACUAUAAGGCGCCUAUUGUUGCGAAGUAUUACAAGUCACAUGCUCCUUCAAAGCACUACUACAAGGCACCCGUGGUUGUGAAGUAUUACGUUGUUACGAAGUAUUACAAGUCACAUGCUCCUUCAAAGCACUACUACAAGGCACCCGUGGUUGUGAAGUAUUACAAGUCACCAGUUCCUUCAAAGAAUUACCACAAGGCACCAGUGGUUGUGAAGUAUUACAAGUCACCUACUCCUUCGAAACACUACUACAAGGCACCGGUGGUAGUGAAGUAUUACAAGUCACCUGCCCCUUUAAAGAAGUACUAUAAGGUGCCAACUCCCUCAAAGUACUACUACAAGUCACCAUCACCUGCAAAGUACUACAAGUCGCCUACUCCAUCAAAAUAUUACAAAUCACCUACUCCUUCUAAAUAUUAUAAAUCACCAUCACCAACAAAAUAUUACAGGUCGCCAGUUUACUACAAGUCUCCUCCACCACCACCACCAACUUAUUAUGAGAAAUCACCUUCUUACUACAACUCCCCUCCCCCUCCACCAUACUACAAAGAAUCUACCCCUUCUUAUAAAUCCCCUCCCCCUCCCCCAUACUACAAAGAAUCUACCCCUUCUUAUAAAUCCCCUCCCCCUCCCCCAUACUACAAAGAAUCUACCCCUUCUUAUAAAUCCCCUCCCCCUCCCCCAUACUACAAAGAAUCUACCCCUUCUUAUAAAUCCCCUCCCCCUCCCCCAUACUACAAAGAAUCUACCCCUUCUUAUAAAUCCCCUCCCCCUCCCCCAUACUACAAAGAAUCUACCCCUUCUUAUAAAUCCCCUCCCCCUCCCCCAUACUACAAAGAAUCUACCCCUUCUUAUAAAUCCCCUCCCCCUCCCCCAUACUACAAAGAAUCUACCCCUUCUUAUAAAUCCCCUCCCCCUCCCCCAUACUACAAAGAAUCUACCCCUUCUUAUAAAUCCCCUCCCCCUCCCCCAUACUACAAAGAAUCUACCCCUUCUUAUAAAUCCCCUCCCCCUCCCCCAUACUACAAAGAAUCUACCCCUUCUUAUAAAUCCCCUCCCCCUCCCCCAUACUACAAAGAAUCUACCCCUUCUUAUAAAUCCCCUCCCCCUCCCCCAUACUACAAAGAAUCUACCCCUUCUUAUAAAUCCCCUCCCCCUCCCCCAUACUACAAAGAAUCUACCCCUUCUUAUAAAUCUCCUCCCCCUCCACCAUACUAUGAAGAAUCUACGCCUUCUUAUAAAUCCCCUCCACCUCCACCAUAUUACAAAGAAUCUACACCUUCCUAUAAAUCUCCUCCACCCCCACCAAAGUACUAUGAGCAAUCUCCUACAACCUAUAACUCACCACCUCCACCACCACCAGCCUAUUACAAGCAAACUCCCACCUAUGCCUCACCUCCACCACCUCAGAAGUACGAGCAAUCUGUCACCUAUGCUUCACCUCCACCCCCGCCAGCUUCUCCCCCACCGACGUACUACUAAACAUUCAAUAACUCUAUCAUUUCCAUGACUUCUACAUCCUAUUUUGAUUUCAUUCCCUCUUCCAAAAUUUAAUGUAUGCUUGUCAAAAUGAUCAGCUUUGCUUACUGUAUGUUCAAUAUUGUUUUGUUCUAAUGAUUUGUAUUUUGUUUUAUGUCUUCAUUAGUUUUUCUCAUUGUAUCAAGAUCAAUAGUUUGUUACCUAUCUUCUCUUCUUUGUGUAAUAUUCUGUGGUUUUAAUCGACUUAAUUCUUUCAAGUAUAGUAUACCUCCAUAACAUAUAUUUGAUGAUACAGAAAGAUACAAAAGGUUAGUUGGGAAACUAAACUACCUUACAGUGACCCGUCUGAUAUUGGCUAUGCAGUUAGUAUUGUCAGUCAGUUCAUGUCUGCACGAACAGUUAACAUUGGGUAGUCUUGGAACAGAUCUUGUGUUGUUUGAAAGGAGCCGAAGGAACUGACGGAACUCUAUUUCGAGACUCGGAACUCCAAAUGUUGACUAAAGUCAAUCAUUUCAACUUAAAAGCUUCCAAAACUCCAAAACUUAUAAAAAUCUCAACUUUAUGAUUUGGUUUCAAAUCUAACCUCAUAAGCUUAUCAAACAUGACUCAGGGCAACUAUUGAGAGGGGUAAAACGGUAAUUUUUCCAAAAAAAUGAAUCCAAAUAUGACCUUCAGGGUCAUUACACACUUUGUUCCCGAGAAGAUAGAGAACAUGAUUUCUACUGGUUAUGUAAAGACGAGAGAAAACAGGUAAUAUAUUAAAGAAGGCUUUAAAUGGUACUCGUGUGGAGUAUCUUUGUAACAUGUUGGACAUGAUUAAUAUCUAUACUCCAACUUAAGGGGGAGUGCUACAUAAUGAAUAUAGACGCAUCUUCAUACAAUCGUAGGUUGAGAUAUUAGGGAUUUUAUGAUUUUGUUUUCUUAGAUAGAUUUACUUGUACACCUACAAAUAGCUCACUCUUGGAAUAAUACGAUAAGGAGAUUCGUUCCAUUGUCUCUUUAUUAUACAAUAAGCCUUCUUUGACAUGCUAUCCAUUUUUUGGAUUGUAAUUAUACUUAUCAACUUUUGAAAAAGAAAAUUAUAUAAAGCAAAAAGAAAUAGAGUCAUAAGUUAAUAAAUUAACCAACAACUCAUAACACUAUGAUAUUCAUUAGUAAAAGAUUAAUCUUCUUAUGUAGUUAUUUGUAAAUUGUUACCUCUUACUAGAGGGGCGUACCCAUUAUCCACCGAGUUUAGAAGGUUGUGAUUGGUCCAAAGGGCGGGUCACAUGCAAAUUUCUCGGUUAUCAAAAAAAAAAAUUGUUACCCUUUACAUGUUUUAACUAAUAAAUAAAUGUCAUACCCCAUGAACAUGAAGAGGACAAUAUUGUUAUCAAUCUGACUUAAGUAACUAAAAAAACAGAUUUGAAGACGAAAAUAUUGAGUUUGAUUAGUAGAAGAAUCUACGCCUUCCUAUGAAUCUCCUCCACCUCCACCAAAGUACUAUGAGCAAUCACCUACAACCUAUAACUCACCACCUCCACCUCCACCAACCUAUUCCUCACCACCACCACCUCAGGAGUACGAGCAAACUGUCAUCUAUGCUUCACCUCCACCCCCGCCAGCAUCUCCCCCACCAACGUACUACUAAACGUUCAAUAACUCUAUCACUUCCAUGACUUUUACAUCCUAUUUUAAUUCCAUUUUUUCUUCCAAAAUUUAAUAUAUGCUUGUCGCAAUGAUGGGCUUUGCUUAUUGUGUGUUCGAUAUUGUUUUGUUCUAAUGAAUUGUAUUAUGUAU
rnacentral:lncRNA from 1 species